rnacentral:rRNA from 2 species
UCCAUGAUUCAGCGGCGGACGGGUGAGUAAUGCCUAGGAAUCUGCCUGGUAGUGGGGGACAACGUUUCGAAAGGAACGCUAAUACCGCAUACGUCCUACGGGAGAAAGUGGGGGAUCUUCGGACCUCACGCUAUCAGAUGAGCCUAGGUCGGAUUAGCUAGUUGGUGAGGUAAAGGCUCACCAAGGCGACGAUCCGUAACUGGUCUGAGAGGAUGAUCAGUCACACUGGAACUGAGACACGGUCCAGACUCCUACGGGAGGCAGCAGUGGGGAAUAUUGGACAAUGGGCGAAAGCCUGAUCCAGCCAUGCCGCGUGUGUGAAGAAGGUCUUCGGAUUGUAAAGCACUUUAAGUUGGGAGGAAGGGCAGUAAGUUAAUACCUUGCUGUUUUGACGUUACCAACAGAAUAAGCACCGGCUAACUUCGUGCCAGCAGCCGCGGUAAUACGAAGGGUGCAAGCGUUAAUCGGAAUUACUGGGCGUAAAGCGCGCGUAGGUGGUUCGUUAAGUUGGAUGUGAAAGCCCCGGGCUCAACCUGGGAACUGCAUCCAAAACUGGCGAGCUAGAGUAUGGCAGAGGGUGGUGGAAUUUCCUGUGUAGCGGUGAAAUGCGUAGAUAUAGGAAGGAACACCAGUGGCGAAGGCGACCACCUGGGCUAAUACUGACACUGAGGUGCGAAAGCGUGGGGAGCAAACAGGAUUAGAUACCCUUGGUAGUCCACGCCGUAAACGAUGUCGACUAGCCGUUGGGAUCCUUGAGAUCUUAGUGG